UGAGUACGAGAUGCUACGGCGUCGAAGCAGUCUAGGUCAUACUUCCAAGAAAAGCUUGCACUGUCAUAAACAAAGAACGCCUGUACCAUAACCGACACAGGUGGGUAGGUAGAGUAUACUAAGGGGCGCGAGAUAACUCUCUCUAAGGAACUCGGCAAAAUGACUCCGUAACUUCGGGAGAAGGAGUGCCUUAUUUUUAAGGUUGCAAUAACAAGAUCCAAGCAACUGUUUACCAAAAACACAGGUCUCCGCUAAGUCGUAAGACGAUGUAUGGGGGCUGACGCCUGCCCAGUGCCAGAAGGUUAAAGAAGUUGGUUAGCAUUCGCGAAGCUGAUAACUGAAGCCCUGGUGAACGGCGGCCGUAACAAUAACGGUCCUAAGGUAGCGAAAUUCCUUGUCGGGUAAGUUCCGACCCGCACGAAAGGCGUAAUGAUUUGGAUACUGUCUCGGAGAGGGGCUCGGUGAAAUAGACUUGUCUGUGAAGAUGCGGACUACCUGCACCUGGACAGAAAGACCCUAUGAAGCUUUACUGUAACUUGAGAUUGAAAUUGGACUUUAUUUGCGCAGUAUAGGUGGGAGGCGUUGAGAAUAAUCUUGCGGGAUUAUCGGAGCCAUCAGUGAGAUACCACUCUUGUAAUGUUAGAUUUCUAACUUUGUAUCAUUAUCUGGUCAAAGAACAGUUUCAGGCGGGCAGUUUGACUGGGGCGGUCGCCUCCCAAAGGGUAACGGAGGCGCACAAAGGUUUCCUCUGAACGGGUAGAAAUCGUAUCUAGAGUGUAAAGGCAUAAGGAAGCUUGACUGUGAGACCUACAAGUCGAGCAGGGACGAAAGUCGGUCUUAGUGAUCUGACGGUGCUGAGUGGAAAGGCCGUCACUCAACGGAUAAAAGUUACUCUAAGGAUAACAGGCUGAUCUCCCCCAAGAGUUCACAUCGACGGGGAGGUUUGGCACCUCGAUGUCGGCUCAUCGCAUCCUGGGGCGGUAGUACGUCCCAAGGGUUGGGCUGUUCGCCCAUGAAAGCGGUACGCGAGCUGGGUUCAGAACGUCGUGAGACAGUUCGGUCCAUAUCCGGUGUAGGCGUUAGAAUAUUGAAAGGAGCCUUCUCUAGUACGAGAGGACCGAGAAGGACAUACCUCUGGUGUGCCAGUUAUCGUGCCAACGGUAAACGCUGGGUAGCUAUGUAUGGAGUGGAUAACCGCUGAAAGCAUCUAAGUGGGAAGCCCACCCUAAGAUAAGUAUUCUCAUC
rnacentral:rRNA from 1 species